GUCAACAGUUGGAACGGUCCACCGCCCAACUAUCCGGUAUCCAACUUGGAACACUAAAUUCAAAUUCAUUUCAAUUCAGUGAAUUCACCUCACCAAGCCGCCAAGCCGACCCGACCCGUACCCGUACGCAACGGUUACGGUCGACCAUGCCGUUACUUUGAAAAUGAAAUAAUUAAUCCAAAAUUUGAUCUCCUUAGUUGUUUUCGUGAUUCGUAUCAUCGGCAUCCACCUCACUGUACCUAACUUCAUCAAACACAGAUCGACACUUCCGGAACUUGCGAUAUCACAUGUGCAUCGCGCUGCUUAGUGCCAUUU